CCUGUGGCAACCGGGCGCGGACUUGUUCCUCAGAAUGACUCCGGAGGAGCUGAGUGUCUUGCCCAGAGUCGCCUCUCUGGGUUUCUCCACUGCUACAGGACUCCAGAUCCAGCUGUGGAAAUUCUGGUCCUGUCCAGAGCCUGUGGUGGUAAUUCAUGCCUCCUGACACCCAGUGAGUUACAUGAAGCUGAAGCGGACUCGGUUGUGCAAGCCUGUGGUGCCAGCUGCUCAGGAGGCUGAGGCAGGAGACAAUGCCGGUCAGGGUCAGCGAGGGCAACAGAAGGAGACCCUGUAUAAAACACCCCCCUACACACACACAGAACAUACAUGCAUGCACACACCAGUAAAAGAAUAGCUCAGCCUUGUAUCAGGGUUGAUAUUCUUUUAGUUGGUAGGUGAUUUAGGCACAAGUGGAUUAACUGCCAAAUUUCUGUCUGGCUAGUGUUACAUGAAGGUAAUUUUAAAAAAAAUUUAUACAUUCAAUCAAUAUAUACCACUUAGUCUGUAAGGUGAAUUUACCCAAUAUGAAAUAGGCUUCAUACAUAAAAGUAGUUUUGUCAUUUUGAGGUGGUGCUCUGAACUGCCAUGCUUUCCUGUUUCCCUCCUCUCAUUAAAGUUGAGCUCCUGAAAUGUAAGAGCUUUUCCAGCUUGAGGUGGAUGGGAGUAUGUAUGUAAGUAAGUAUAUGAGAAAUAAUAAAGACAGAUGUAGAAUUUUGUGGAAAAAUGUGCCUUCUAAUUUGGGAGAAAGGUAU